UGCGUGUAUGUAUGUUUGUGUGUGUGUGUGAGUGUGUGGGUUUUAAGUGUGUAUAAGCAGUUGCCAAGCCAUUUUGGGCGCUUUGGGCUUUGGACUUUUUGAAUCUCUCAGCGCGCAACAGAAUUUUACAAUUGUCGCAUUCUUAAAUACAUUUUCAAAAUUACAUAAUUUAAAUAAUUUAAAUAUACACACGUGUGGCCCCAGACUAUGCUUAAACACAGAUGAAAAAAAAUAUCAAUACAUAUAUAUUUGUAUAUACAUAUAUGUAUGUAUAUACAUAUGUGUAUGCGUAUAUCAAUUUAUAGAAUAAGCACAUACAUGCCGAAGUGGAGAAGCAUGUGGAGGAAGCGCCGUCCCCUCUCCAAAUGUUUACUCGCUUAGCUAAACUAAACUCUCAUUAUUUCAAUUGGUUUUUUGUUUUUCUUUCUCUUUUGUCUUAGUUUUAUUUUUCUUUUUUUAUGUUUUGUUUUGUUUUGUUUUGUUUUUAUAACGUUUCGUAUGUAAUGCGUAUUCUACAUAUUACCCAGCUCUCGUAAAAAAUACCAACACUCAGCGAACGAUACACAUUCACAAUGCCAAACGCAACUUAAUAACAAAUCAU